GAAGAAAGAGACUUUCAUCUUCAUCAAAUGGAGAAAAUGAAUUAAAAGAAGUGAAGAGAGAGAGAGAGAGAUUCGGCCAGCCAUGGAAGCUCCACCAACGGCCAACUCCUCUAUUUUCUUAUACCAUGAAAUCCCUAAAGUGUUCUACAUAUCCACCAUUAAGUUUCAAGUGAAGGAGAAACAACAAACUUGCCAUGGAAGCUCUUGAAAGCUCACGGCCAUGGCCAUGGCGGAAGCUCCAAAGAUUGGAAGAAGUGAGAAGUGUAGAGAGAAAGAGAAAUAGACCAAACCUUGGCUUGAGAAAGAAAUUAAAGGGUCAAAUGUGGUGAUUCUUCAAGGUUAUGACAGCAAGGGUGGAUUCUUUAAGACAACAAAAACAUUGAUGAACCAAGCCUCAAAUUCCAAGCAAAUUGGGUCAUAAAAGCCUAAGGUACAAACGUUUGAGUUGCCGAUCCGCCUACUUAGGACAUCCAUCUUGCUUGACAAUGCUCCUUUGUGCAGGGCCCAUAUUUUGGUACUGACUUCCCUGUUGUGUACAUGUAUAUGUUGUUUAGGGGUACGAUGGGGCCCUGUCCUAUCAUAUGAUUAUGUUAUCGUUCUAUAGAGGUCUGUAGAUGUUUGUUGUGGGUUCUUUAUAUGAUCUGGGUUUUUUAUUUCGUGACGACCAUGGCGGCAUCCCUGUGCUACAUCUAU